rnacentral:misc_RNA from 1 species
UGAUUGGCGUGUAUCGGUACGUUGGAUCCCUGCUAGGGCAGCGACAACUUACCUUGCUCGCCACUUCAGUCGUUGGCAUAGGCGCGUUGAGCCUUUGUCGGAUUAUGUUUUCCUGUGUUGUAUUCCAUUAAAAGGGCAUUGAAUUUGUUCAAUUUGCAUCAGUUCGCUUCUCGUUGUGUCCCCUCGGAUUUUGGCAUGCAGUGAACUUUAAAGCAUUUGCCGUGUUCCACUUUCCUUGCAUGCACGUGCUUGGGUUGUUGGGCCACGGUCUUUGCUCGAUCUCUCGGUUGCGGUAUACAUUGUGGGCACGAGGUCACUAGUCCUCUAUUCGGCCCUUAUCGAGCGUUUAACGCUACGUUCAAACGACAGUUGUGGCCGUCUUGACUAGGUCUUUAUGGCUUGGAUCAUACGGUCCCAACGUCGAUGAGGAAUG